UACGUAGGGUCCGAGCGUUGUCCGGAAUUACUGGGCGUAAAGAGCUCGUAGGUGGUUUGUCGCGUUGUUCGUGAAAACUCACAGCUUAACUGUGGGCGUGCGGGCGAUACGGGCAGACUGGAGUACUGCAGGGGAGACUGGAAUUCCUGGUGUAGCGGUGGAAUGCGCAGAUAUCAGGAGGAACACCGGUGGCGAAGGCGGGUCUCUGGGCAGUAACUGACGCUGAGGUGCGAAAGCGUGGGGAGCAAACAGG
rnacentral:rRNA from 1 species